rnacentral:rRNA from 1 species
UACAGAGGUCUCAAGCGUUGUUCGGAAUUACUGGGCGUAAAGGGCGCGUAGGCGGCCUGUUAAGUCGGUUGUGAAAGCCCGGGGCUCAACCCCGGAACGGCAGCCGAGACUGGCGGGCUCGAGACCGGGAGAGGUGGGUGGAAUACCCAGUGUAGAGGUGAAAUUCGUAGAUAUUGGGUGGAACACCGGUGGCGAAAGCGGCUCACUGGCCCGGUUCUGACGCUGAGGCGCGAAAGCGUGGGGAGCAAACAGG